GUGGGGAAUAUUGGACAAUGGGCGAAAGCCUGAUCCAGCCAUGCCGCGUGUGUGAAGAAGGUCUUCGGAUUGUAAAGCACUUUAAGUUGGGAGGAAGGGCAGUAAGUUAAUACCUUGCUGUUUUGACGUUACCGACAGAAUAAGCACCGGCUAACUUCGUGCCAGCAGCCGCGGUAAUACGAAGGGUGCAAGCGUUAAUCGGAAUUACUGGGCGUAAAGCGAGCGUAGGUGGUUUUGUAAGUUGGAGGUGAAAUCCCCGGGCUCAACCUGGGAACUGCCUCCAAAACUGCAUGACUAGAGUACGGUAGAGGGUAGUGGAAUUUCCUGUGUAGCGGUGAAAUGCGUAGAUAUAGGAAGGAACACCAGUGGCGAAGGCGACUACCUGGACUGAUACUGACACUGAGGUGCGAAAGCGUGGGGAGCAAACAGGAUUAGAUACCCCGGUAGUCC
rnacentral:rRNA from 1 species